rnacentral:rRNA from 1 species
GGGUUGUGAGGUUAAGCGACUAAGCGUACACGGUGGAUGCCCUGGCAGUCAGAGGCGAUGAAGGGCGUGCUAAUCUGCGAUAAGCGCCGGUAAGGUGAUAUGAACCGUUAUAACCGGCGAUACCCGAAUGGGGAAACCCAGUGUGAUUCGUCACACUAUCAUUAACUGAAUCCAUAGGUUAAUGAGGCGAACCGGGGGAACUGAAACAUCUAAGUACCCCGAGGAAAAGAAAUCAACCGAGAUUCCCCCAGUAGCGGCGAGCGAACGGGGAGGAGCCCAGAGCCUGAAUCAGCAUGUGUGUUAGUGGAAGCGUCUGGAAAGGCGCGCGAUACAGGGUGACAGCCCCGUACACAAAAGCGUAUGUGCUGUGAGCUCGAUGAGUAGGGCGGGACACGUGGUAUCCUGUCUGAAUAUGGGGGGACCAUCCUCCAAGGCUAAAUACUCCUGACUGACCGAUAGUGAACCAGUACCGUGAGGGAAAGGCGAAAAGAACCCCGGCGAGGGGAGUGAA